CCGACCGGAGAUUCUUUUUUUCUUGUAAUGGCGGACCAACCGAGAGUCGAAGCGAUGGAGGAGUACAGUUUUAAAUGGUCCAAGGAGCAGACAGAAGCUUUUAUAAAGCUGAGGGAAAAAAUGAACACCUCUUCACGGGGUGUAAGAAUUCAGCCGCUGUGGGAUGGAGG